rnacentral:rRNA from 1 species
UACGUAGGGGGCUAGCGUUAUCCGGAAUUACUGGGCGUAAAGGGUGCGUAGGCGGUCUUUCAAGUCAGAAGUGAAAGGCUACGGCUCAACCGUAGUAAGCUUUUGAAACUGUAAGACUUGAGUGCAGGAGAGGAGAGUGGAAUUCCUAGUGUAGCGGUGAAACGCGUAGAUAUUAGGAGGAACACCAGUUGCGAAGGCGGCUCUCUGGACUGUAACUGACGCUGAGGCACGAAAGCGUGGGGAGCAAACAGG